rnacentral:rRNA from 1 species
AUUGAACGCUGGCGGCAUGCUUUACACAUGCAAGUCGAACGGUAACAGGGAGCUUGCUCCGCUGACGAGUGGCGAACGGGUGAGUAAUAUAUCGGAACGUACCCAGAAGUGGGGGAUAACGUAGCGAAAGUUACGCUAAUACCGCAUACGAUCUACGGAUGAAAGUAGGGGACCUUCGGGCCUUAUGCUUUUGGAGCGGCCGAUAUCUGAUUAGCUAGUUGGUGAGGUAAAGGCUCACCAAGGCGGCGAUCAGUAGCUGGUCUGAGAGGACGACCAGCCACACUGGAACUGAGACACGGUCCAGACUCCUACGGGAGGCAGCAGUGGGGAAUUUUGGACAAUGGGCGCAAGCCUGAUCCAGCAAUGCCGCGUGAGUGAAGAAGGCCUUCGGGUUGUAAAGCUCUUUUGUCAGGGAAGAAACGGCUGUGGCUAAUAUCCACGGCUAAUGACGGUACCUGAAGAAUAAGCACCGGCUAACUACGUGCCAGCAGCCGCCGUAA